UACAGAGGUCUCAAGCGUUGUUCGGAUUCAUUGGGCGUAAAGGGUGCGUAGGCGGCGCGGUAAGUCGGGUGUGAAAUCUUGGAGCUUAACUCCGAAACUGCAUUCGAUACUGCCGUGCUUGAGGACUGGAGAGGAGACUGGAAUUUACGGUGUAGCGGUGAAAUGCGUAGAUAUCAGGAGGAAUACCGGUGGGGUAGACGGCUCUCUGGACCGCCACUGACGCUGAGACACGAAAGCGUGGGUAGCAAACAGG
rnacentral:rRNA from 1 species